GGUGCUACUAUUCAAACACCAACUUAUUCAUUUAAACUAACUAAUCAACUUCAAAUAUAGCUUUUAAUAGUAUAUAAGAUUUCCUUCUAUUCUAAGAAUUUAGAAGCGUUAGAAAGACUCAAAAUGAUUAGGGGAUCUCUCAUGGCUUUUCACAAAGUAAUCUACCAUUAUGAUAAAAUAGAAAAUGAAAGCAAGAUGUGGAAAUCUUGCCGAAAUUUACCACCUUUUCCACAGCUAUAUAAUCAUAUGAUUGCAAUGCUUUAGGGGGUCAGUCUCAUAUGGAAAUCCACUUAAUAUGAACUCUUUCUUCCUUUGGAGUGAGCUCUGUAAUGCUCUCCCAUGGAUCCAAAGCUGAAGCAAGAGUUUAAGGGCAUCAAAAAAUCAAAGAAAGCCAAGAAACAGGACAAGGCAACCUUAUUGUAGUUGUUUUGAUUGGAGAAUCCAAGUUUUUUGCCUCAGCCUCUGGUGAUAUGAACAUGUACUACGAUGAAUACGUUGAUCGGAGUCGUCAAAGACUCGGCAAUCGUUCCACUCUGGAAGUGGAGAAAGAGAAGAAAAUGACAGGUGAUGAAGAAAAGGUAAAGAAGGGAUCCAGAAAGAAAGAAAAAAAUGAGGAUGUUUUGGCUAGUGAGGAGUUGAAGAAAAGAGCUGAUGAUUUCAUAGCCAGGGUCAACAGGCAAAGGAGGUUUGAAGAUGGAUUACCACUUUAAAAGAACCUACUGGAUUGUUGCUGCUAUUUCUCUCCUCACUUGGCCUCUGAUUAUAAAUAUGUAGUUCAAUGAAGUAUAAUAUCUUCUAUAUAUGUGUGUAUGUUGAAGCAUCUAAGACAAUAUAGUUUGGUUCCAAUUAA